rnacentral:hammerhead_ribozyme from 1 species
AUCCAGUUGACGAAUCCUAAAUAAGACGAGGCGCGCGUCAAACUGGAU